ACGAAGUAGUGCCUAUGCGCUAUUUAGUGGCAAACGGGUGAGUGACACGUAGCUUAGCUGUCCUAAAGUGGGGGAUAGCCGCGGGAAGCCGCGGGUAAUACCGCAUGUGAUCUACGGAUUAAAGCUUAAUGCGCUUUAGGAGGUGGCUGCGGCCCAUCAGGUUGUUGGCGGGGUAAUGGCCCACCAAGCCUAUGACGGGUAUCCGGCCUGAGAGGGUGAUCGGACACAUUGGAACUGAGACACGGUCCAGACUCCUACGGGAGGCAGCAGCUAGGAAUUUUCCGCAAUGGACGAAAGUCUGACGGAGCAACGCCGCGUGAAGGAUGAAGGUCUUUAGGGAUUGUAAACUUCUUUUAUAUGAGACGAGUAAGGACGGUAUCAUAAGAAUAAGUCCCGGCUAACUACGUGCCAGCAGCCGCGGUAAUACGUAGGGGGCUAGCGUUGUUCGGAAUUACUGGGUAUAAAGGGUGCGCAGGCGGAUUUCUAAGCAAGAGGUGAAAUGUCAAGGCUCAAC
rnacentral:rRNA from 1 species